GGGGAAUGUGUUUGGCUUUUGGUUGCUUGCUUGGUUUUGGUGCUGAGUGAGUGGUUUUUGGCUUCAUGUUCUUCGGGGAUGUCAACCGUAAAGGUGCAUGAGUGGUGUUUGGCUUAUUACGGGUGGUUGAUCUCUGUUUGCGCAGCGACUUCCAUGUGUUUAUGCCUCUUCAUUUCUGCUACAAGGCUUUUGUUUGUCUUGUGCGUACAUUGGGUUUCUGUGUUGCAUACCUAAUUAAAAGGCAUCGUUUGGCUAGAUCAAAGUUCAUUUUCGUAAUACGUUGCUUGCAGCGUUGAACGAACCUCGAAGCGGUCUCUAUGGUCCUUGUUGUUGUUGCCGGAGCAUUGAUGGCAUGGCCCUUGGAGUGUCGUUUGGUUUUUAGAAUAUGGAACCUGAUGUGGGYUGUAGGGUCUUUAAUGAUCCUAUGUUUGCCCUCUUUUAGCGUUCUUGCUUGUUUAAACGACCGUCCAUCAUGUUUCGGCAUGUUCGUGUAUGGUGGGCUGUGUCGAAGAGGAAUGC
rnacentral:misc_RNA from 1 species